GUGGGGAAUCUUAGACAAUGGGCGCAAGCCUGAUCUAGCCAUGCCGCGUGAGCGAUGAAGGCCUUAGGGUUGUAAAGCUCUUUCGCUGGGGAAGAUAAUGACUGUACCCAGUAAAGAAGCCCCGGCUAACUCCGUGCCAGCAGCCGCGGUAAUACGGAGGGGGCUAGCGUUAUUCGGAAUUACUGGGCGUAAAGCGCACGUAGGCGGACCAGAAAGUUGGGGGUGAAAUCCCGUGGCUCAACCUCGGAACUGCCUUCAAAACUCCUGGUCUUGAGUUCGAGAGAGGUGAGUGGAAUUCCGAGUGUAGAGGUGAAAUUCGUAGAUAUUCGGAGGAACACCAGUGGCGAAGGCGGCUCACUGGCUCGAUACUGACGCUGAGGUGCGAAAGCGUGGGGAGCAAACAGGAUUAGAAACCCCAGUAGUCC
rnacentral:rRNA from 1 species